AAGUCGUAACAAGGUCUCCGUUGGUGAACCAGCGGAGGGAUCAUUAAAGAGUAGUUUUUUACAACAACUCCAAACCCAUGUGAACUUACCUAUGUUGCCUCGGCGGGGAGACCUACCCGGUAGUUACCCUGUAGUUACCCUGUAGAGCUACCCGUCGACGGACCAUCAAACUCUGUUUUUCUAUGAAACUUCUGAGUGUUUUAACUUAAUAAAUUAAAACUUUCAACAACGGAUCUCUUGGUUCUG
rnacentral:misc_RNA from 1 species